GACGAACGCUGGCGGUAUGCCUAACACAUGCAAGUCGAACGAGAUUAUUUUUUUGUUUACAAAGAAAUAAUUGCAGUGGCGGACGGGUGAGGAACACGUAAGAACUUACCUUUUGGCGGGGGAUAACAACGGGAAACUGUUGCUAAUACCCCAUAAUGCUGAGGAGCGAAAGGGAAACUGCCAAAAGAGAGGCUUGCGUCUGAUUAGCUAGUUGGCGGAGGUAAAUGCUCCCCAAGGCGACGAUCAGUAGCUGGUCUGAGAGGAUGAUCAGCCACACUGGGACUGAGACACGGCCCAGACUCCUACGGGAGGCAGCAGUGGGGAAUUUUCCACAAUGGGCGAAAGCCUGAUGGAGCAAUACCGCGUGAAGGAUGAAGGAUCGUGGUNCCGUAAACUUCUUUUCUUAACGAAGAAAUUCUGACGGUAGUUAAGGAAUAAGCACCGGCUAACUCCGUGCCGGCAGCUGCGGUAAUACGGGGGGUGCAAGCGUUGUCCGGAAUGAUUGNGCGUAAAGCAUCUGUAGGUUNNUUUUUAAAGUCGACUGUUAAAGCCCAGGGCUCAACUUUGGAUAAGCGGUCGAGUACUUAGAGACUUGAGUAUGGUAGGGGUAGAGGGAACUNCUAGUGGAGCGGUGAAAUGCACAGAGAUUAGAAGGAACACCAAAGGCGAAAGCACUCUACUGGGCCAUGACUGACACUGAGAGAUGAAAGUUGGGGGAGCGAAAAGGAUUAGAUACCCUUGUAGUCCCAACUGUAAACGAUGGAUACUAAGUGCUGACAAAAUCAGUGCUGUAGCUAACGCGUUAAGUAUCCCGCCUGGGGAGUAUGCUCGCAAGAGUGAAACUCCAAGGAAUUGACGGGAACUGGCACAAGCGGUGGAUUAUGCGGUUUAAUUCGAUGAUACACGAAGAACCUUACCAGGGGAUUGACAUGUUCAGAACUUUUGAGAGAUCGNAA
rnacentral:rRNA from 1 species